AAUAUCGAAAAUGGAACUCUUAAGACAAUACUAAAGAAUGCAUGUUUUCUGUUGUCCGAUCACGGAUUGUACCCCAUUUUCACCUGUAUUUUCACCGAUCACAUGUGACUCACCAACUCAUCUUAAUACCAGGCAGAAACGGGGCCAACACUUCCGCUGAUGCCGGAGUUUCAUCAGGACGAAGGUAACCUGUUUAACUAUGCAUGGCAAGAACUAGUGAAGGGGUGUCCAAUCCUGCUCCUGGAGGGCCAUUGUCCUGUACAGUGUAGCUCCUAAAUCUGAAACGGCUAAAAAAGAAACUUCCAAGCAGGUGUGGAGACAAGUUGAAACUAAAUUCUGUAGGACAGUGGCCCUCCAGGACUGAGUUUGGACACCCCUGAACUAGUGGCUCUACAUAAUGAUUUUUGCAUGUUACUAUUGCUUGUUUCAUUAGUUUAGUGCUUAUUAAACUUAAUCAGUGCACGCCUAUGUCUUCCAGGCUGCUGCCACAAGCAUCGGACCGAAGAAUUUUGGCCUGAUGUUUGGCCGUGGUGCCGCCAUCAUCCUAACACUCUUCAUCAACCGGUCUUUGUGUGGAGGGCACCAUGACUGGCCAUCUGAAUACCAUCAUUUUGCUACAGGUCCAGUUGUCUCUUCUCCCACAAACUCUACUUUCAGGGGCCGGUGACCACUAGGGGGUCUCUGCAAACUUCAAAUAGGGGCCAUUGGACCGCUUGAGAUGGAUUAACUCAAAUAUGACCAAGCUUUAAUGUUGUAAAGCAGAUUUUGAGCUGAUCUUCAUUCUUCUGCAAGCUCACCACAAUCCCUGGGUGCACCAGCUGUGGAAAGUGCAGGCCAAAUCUGG
ensembl:lncRNA